rnacentral:rRNA from 1 species
CCUACGGGGGGCAGCAGUGGGGGAUAUUGCACAAUGGGGGGAACCCUGAUGCAGCGACGCCGCGUGGGUGAAGAAGUGCCUCGGCGUGUAAAGCUCUGUCAGCAGGGAAGAAAAUGACGGUACCUGAAGAAGAAGCCCCGGCUAACUACGUGCCAGCAGCCGCGGUAAUACGUAGGGGGCAAGCGUUAUCCGGAUUUACUGGGUGUAAAGGGGGCGCAGACGGCAGUGCAAGCCUGGAGUGAAAGCCCGGGGCCCAACCCCGGAACUGCGCUGGGAACUGGGCGGCGUGAGUGCAGGAGGGGCAGGCGGAAUUCGUGGUGUAGCGGUGAAAUGCGUAGAUAUCAGGAGGAACACCGGUGGCGAAGGCGGCCUGCUGGACUGCAACUGACGUUGAGGCUCGAAAGCGUGGGGAGCAAACAGGAUUAGAUACCCUUGUAGUC